rnacentral:rRNA from 1 species
GAUAACGCUGGCGGCGCACAUAAGACAUGCAAGUCGAACGGAAGUCGUUGUAAUGAAAUAGAAACGGACAGAGAACUUGUUCGAAGAAAGUGGAAGUAGACUUACAACAAUGGCUUUAGUGGCGGACUGGUGAGUAACGCGUAAGGAACCUGCCUUCUAGAGGGGAAUAACAAUGAGAAAUCAUUGCUAAUACCGCAUAUGCCGAGAGAAUCACAUGGUACAAUCGGGAAAAGAGUAAUCUGCUAGAAGAUGGCCUUGCGUCUGAUUAGAUAGUUGGUGGGGUAACGGCCUACCAAGUCGACGAUCAGUAGCCGGACUGAGAGGUUGAACGGCCACAUUGGGACUGAGAUACGGCCCAGACUCCUACGGGAGGCAGCAGUCGGGAAUAUUGCGCAAUGGAGGAAACUCUGACGCAGUGACGCCGCGUAUAGGAAGAAGGUUUUCGGAUUGUAAACUAUUGUCGUUAGGGAAGAGAAAGGACAGUACCUAAGGAGGAAGCUCCGGCUAACUACGUGCCAGCAGCCGCGGUAAUACGUAGGGAGCGAGCGUUAUCCGGAAUUAUUGGGUGUAAAGGGUGCGUAGACGGGAAGAUAAGUUAGUUGUGAAAUCCCUCGGCUUAACUGAGGAACUGCAACUAAAACUGUUUUUCUUGAGUGCAGGAGAGGUAAGUGGAAUUCCUAGUGUAGCGGUGAAAUGCGUAGAUAUUAGGAGGAACACCAGUGGCGAAGGCGACUUACUGGACUGUAACUGACGUUGAGGCACGAAAGUGUGGGGAGCAAACAGGAUUAGAUACCCUGGUAGUCCACACCGUAAACGAUGG